rnacentral:rRNA from 1 species
CAGCCGCCGCGGGAAUACGGAGGGAGCUAGCGUUAUUCGGAAUUACUGGGCGUAAAGCGCACGUAGGCGGCUUUGUAAGUUAGAGGUGAAAGCCUGGAGCUCAACUCCAGAAUUGCCUUUAAGACUGCAUCGCUCGAAUCCAGGAAAGGUGAGUGGAAUUCCGUGUGUAGAGGUGAAAUUCGUAGAUAUUCGGAAGAACACCAGUGGCGAAGGCGGCUCACUGGACUGGUAUUGACGCUGAGGUGCGAAAGCGUGGGGAGCAAACAGGAUUAGAUACCCCGGUAGUCCCUGUCUCUUAUAC